ensembl:lncRNA Abhd11-as1 ABHD11 antisense RNA 1 (tail to tail)
GGCAAAGGUAGCCUCAAACAACUGACAAGAAUCUCAGUCACCAGGCCUUGACUCUAAGAACAUAGAAAGGUCAUCCAUCACCUUCCAACAGAACCCAGAAUCCUAAGCGGCAGGAGCACUGGGGGACACCUGGGCGGAGCCUUCCCUGGAGCAAGUACUGCGGGAAAGGGAUGAAGCCAUUGCUAAGAAGCGAGCGGUGGAAGAGGAGCUGGACUCCUGUCGAGCCAAGUUGCGCGCAGUGGAGGCUCAACUGCUGGAGGUCUUGCAGGAGAAACUAAGGCUGAAACAGGAGGUGGAGGCCUGGGAGGAAGACAUGCAGCAGAUGGUUCGAGAGCGGGUGCGGAGUCAGCUGCAGGGAGAGCCCAGAGGCACUCUGGGCGCACAAGAGAACAUGAGCGCGGGCAGGAGUUCCUGGAUCCAACUCUCCCGUGGUCGUUGGGGACGACGGUGGUGAAAAUGGAUCCCAGGUCUUUAAGUCUUGAUUCAUUAAAGUGUUAGACCACCUCUG